GACGAACGCUGGCGGCGUGCUUAACACAUGCAAGUCGAACGGAAAGGCCCUGCUUUUGUGGGGUGCUCGAGUGGCGAACGGGUGAGUAACACGUGAGUAACCUGCCCUUGACUUUGGGAUAACUUCAGGAAACUGGGGCUAAUACCGGAUAGGAGCUCCUGCUGCAUGGUGGGGGUUGGAAAGUUUCGGCGGUUGGGGAUGGACUCGCGGCUUAUCAGCUUGUUGGUGGGGUAGUGGCUUACCAAGGCUUUGACGGGUAGCCGGCCUGGGAGGGUGACCGGCCACAUUGGGACUGAGAUACGGCCCAGACUCCUACGGGAGGCAGCAGUGGGGAAUAUUGCACAAUGGGCGGGAGUCUGAUGCAGCAACGCCGCGUGCGGGAUGACGGCCUUCGGGUUGUAAACCGCUUUCGCCUGUGACGAAGCGUGAGUGACGGUAAUGGGUAAAGAAGCACCGGCUAACUACGUG
rnacentral:rRNA from 1 species